UACGGAGGGUGCAAGCGUUGUCCGGAUUUAUUGGGCGUAAAGAGCUCGUAGGUGGCUUAGUAAGUCGGGUGUGAAACCUCCAGGCUUAACCUGGAGACGCCAUCUGAUACUGCUAUAGCUUGAGUCCGGUAGGGGAGCGUGGAAUUCCUGGUGUAGCGGUGAAAUGCGCAGAUAUCAGGAGGAACACCAGCGGCGAAGGCGGCGCUCUGGGCCGGUACUGACACUGAGGAGCGAAAGCGUGGGGAGCAAACAGG
rnacentral:rRNA from 1 species